rnacentral:rRNA from 1 species
UACGUAGGCAGCAAGCGUUGUUCGGAAUUACUGGGCGUAAAGAGUGCGUAGGCGGUGCUCUAAGUCUGGUGUGAAAUCUCCCGGCUCAACUGGGAGGGUGCGCCGGAGACUGGAGUGCUAGAGUGUGGGAGAGGUAAGCGGAAUUCCUGGUGUAGCGGUGAAAUGCGUAGAUAUCAGGAGGAACACCUGUGGUGUAGACAGCUUACUGGACCACGACUGACGCUGAGGCACGAAAGCGUGGGUAGCAAACAGG